UACGGAGGGUGCGAGCGUUAAUCGGAAUUACUGGGCGUAAAGGGCGCGUAGGCGGUGAAGUCAGUCGGGUGUGAAAGCCCCGGGCUCAACCUGGGAACUGCAUUCGAUACUGCUUCGCUAGAGUAUGGUAGAGGGAAGCGGAAUUCCGGGUGUAGCGGUGAAAUGCGUAGAUAUCUGGAGGAACACCGGUGGCGAAGGCGGCAUCCUGGACCGGCACUGACGCUGA
rnacentral:rRNA from 1 species